CAAGUCCACCGUGGGCUUUGAAAAACGCUUUCCUUGAUAAAAUUUAAGCGUUUUAUAAGAGGAUGCCGGGGAAGGUUUUCCGGUUUAUCCCGGAGGGCUUGUAGCUCAGUUGGUUAGAGCGCGCGCUUGAUAAGCGUGAGGUCGGAGGUUCAAGUCCUCCCAGGCCCACCAGUUUAUCCAUUACUUUCAUAAGUGCUUUUAAAAAAUAAGUACUUCUAAAAAGAUUGCUUCUAAAAAGCUUAUCAAAAUUGGCAGGCUUAUUGCUUUUGUGUGAGUAAUCCAAAGUUAAAGCAAAUUAAUGGCAAAAAAACAGUUCAAAUGCUAAAUACUAAGGAGUCAAAAUUCCUUGCAAAGUGAUUUUUACAGCGUCCAUUUGGUUGAUAUAAAUUCCAAAUGCUCAUAGACGUCAAUGCCUAUAUGAAACUAUCGGUUCAAUCAUAUCGCUUUGAGUUAUAUAGAUUUUGUAAUCCCUCUUUUGAUCGUUUUAAACGCUUUAUCCUGAUUUAGGGGCCGUAGCUCAGCUGGGAGAGCACCUGCUUUGCAAGCAGGGGGUCGUCGGUUCGAUCCCGUCCGGCUCCACCAUAAGGUCAUCAUCAUUGUUGUAAGAACAGUUUUGUAAAAGGUUUGCGAACCUUUUGCUUGUUCUAUUGAAAUUGUGAAGAGAAGAUAUAUUCAGACAUGUUCCUUUUGAAAGGUUUGUUCUGGAAGGUGAGGUUUUUCUGUGCAGAAAUGUUUCAGAAAAAGCUUUGUCAUCAGAAAGGGCUAUUGUCUAACAGCUUAGAUAAAAAACAAAUCUGAAAAAGAAAUCUUGUGUCGCAAGGGAAAGCUCAAAGCCCUUGCUUAUGAUUGG
rnacentral:tRNA from 1 species